UACGUAGGCAGCAAGCGUUGUUCGGAAUUAUUGGGCGUAAAGAGUGUGUAGGCGGUGCUCCAAGUCUGUUGUGAAAUCUCCCGGCUUAACUGGGAGGGUGCGGCGGAAACUGGAAUGCUAGAGGGUGGGAGAGGUAAGCGGGAAGUCCUGGUGGUAGCGGUGAAAUGCGUAGAUAUCAGGAGGGAACACCUGUGGUGUAGACAGCUUACUGGACCACUUCUGACGCUGAGACACGAAAGCGUGGGUAGCAAACAGG
rnacentral:rRNA from 1 species